GCGCCCUUAGCUCAAUGGUAGAGCAGAAGUCUUUUAAGCUUUUGGUUAAAAGUUCGAAUCUUUUAGGGCGCA